GAGUUUGAUCUUGGCUCAGAUUGAACGCUGGCGGCAUGCCUUACACAUGCAAGUCGAACGGCAGCACGGGAGCUUGCUCCUGGUGGCGAGUGGCGAACGGGUGAGUAAUGCAUCGGAACGUAUCCUGGAGUGGGGGAUAACGUAGCGAAAGUUACGCUAAUACCGCAUAUUCUGUGAGCAGGAAAGCGGGGGACCUUCGGGCCUCGCGCUCUUGGAGCGGCCGAUGUCGGAUUAGCUAGUUGGUGAGGUAAAGGCUCACCAAGGCGACGAUCCGUAGCAGGUCUGAGAGGAUGAUCUGCCACACUGGAACUGAGACACGGUCCAGACUCCUACGGGAGGCAGCAGUGGGGAAUUUUGGACAAUGGGGGCAACCCUGAUCCAGCCAUGCCGCGUGAGUGAAGAAGGCCUCGGUUGUAAGACGUACUUCGUCGAGGGAAGAAAGUUAGACGACCGGACCGAA
rnacentral:rRNA from 1 species